UCCUCCUCUUCUCCUUCCCUUUUUACAUACAAAAUAGCAAGCUUUCGUCUGUUUUUCUUCACCAAAAAAAACGCAGCUUAUAUCUUCCUUUUUUUAGUCUAUUUUUCGUGGGUUUCAAGGGGUAAUUCAAGGGUGAUUUGAACCCUAGUUGCUGCUGUCAAGUGCUCCUAAUUUCGUGCCUUAUUCAUCCCCCUUUGGAGCAUCAAAAGUGGAAGAACAACAAGGGUGUCUAGAGGGUUGUUUUGGGCGUGAUCUUAGGCGUGGGUGGUCUGAUCUCGUGGAUCUUCUCCUUUCUCUUCUUAAUCUGAAUUUUCAUGCCUCCUAAUCAAAGGUUUCAUUUGUUUAUUUGAUCUAUGUGAGGAUGGGUUGGGAUUUGAGAGUUUAGAAACCAACUUUUGGGCUUGUAUGCCUUUGUUGGUUAGUUGUUUGUUUAAGUGUUUUGAAUUUGGUUUAGUUUGUUUUCAAUCUGGCCAAUAAGGGUUGUUCUGCCCUUGACUUUUGAAUGUAAUUGAUUUACCUAUGUUUAAGUUCAUUUGUUAUUGUCUUUUUCUUCA